UUUUACAGUUCGCAACUCUCGCGGUGGCCGAUCGUGGAAUUCGCGGAGAGUGACUCACCGGCGGGAAAAUCCGGCGGGAGGGGCGGAGUAAGGUGGGCGUAAUCCGGUUAGGGAGAGGAUGAAGUUGGUGACUUACAACGUUAAUGGGCUCAGGCAGCGGGUUUCGCAGUUUGGUUCUCUCCUCAAGCUCCUUGACUCGUUCGAUGCCGACAUCAUCUGCUUCCAGGAGACGAAGCUGAGAAGGCAAGAACUAACAGCGGAUUUGGCAAUGGCUGAUGGUUAUGAAUCCUUUUUUUCCUGCACUCGUACUUGCGAGAGAGGUCGCACUGGUUAUUCUGGUGUUGCAACGUUUUGCCGGGUAAAGUCGGCAUUUUCGAGCUGCGAGGUUGCUUUGCCAGUUGCAGCAGAAGAAGGCUUCACUGGUCUUGUGAACAAUAACACAAGCGGUGGGAGGAAUGAAACGUCGAAAGCUGCUGAAGGGCUCUUAGAGUUUGAGAAACAUGAGCUUCUUAAGGUGGACAGCGAGGGACGGUGCGUUACAACUGAUCACGGUCAUUUCGUUGUCUUCAAUAUAUAUGGGCCUCGGGCUGGAGCUGAUGAUACUGAGAGGAUCGAGUUCAAGCAAAAGUUCUUCAGUAUCUUAGAGAGAAGAUGGAAGUGUCUUCUGCAUCAAGGAAGAAGGGUAGUUGUUGUCGGCGACCUCAAUAUUGCUCCAUUUGCAAUAGAUCGGUGUGAUGCUGGACCCGAUUUUGAGAAAAACGAGCUCAGGAAGUGGUUUAGAUCUUUGCUGGUUGAUUGUGGAGGCCCGUUCUCUGAUGUUUUCCGGACAAGACAUCCUGACAGGAGAGAUGCAUACACAUGUUGGUCUACAAGUACUGGAGCAGAACAAUUUAAUUACGGGUCAAGAAUCGAUCAUAUCUUAGUUGCUGGGUCAUGUUUACAUCAAGAGAAAGAUGAGCAAGGCCAUAGCUUUCUUGCCUGUCAUGUGGAGGAAUGCAAUAUAUUGACACAGUAUAAGCGGCUGAAGCAUGAUGGAGAUGCGCCAAAAAGAUGGAAAGGAGGAGGGGGCAUGAAGUUAGAAGGAUCAGACCAUGUUCCUGUAUUCACUACUUUUGAUGAUCUCCCCGACACCCCCCAACAUAGCACCCCGUCCUUAGCAUCGAGAUAUCUACCCGUUAUUUACGGUUUCCAGCAAACUCUUGUGUCAGUAUUUAUGAAAAGGCAGGCCAAUAAACAAGUCAACACCACAGAAGUUCUAUGCUCAUCUUCAAGUGAACCUUGUUCUUCUCUAGAGAGUGAAUCCACUGCUUGUGGCAUUAAAGGAGCAGAUCAAGAUUCCAGAGGGGACACUGAUGGCCUCCAUGGCGGAAUCUGUCGGUAUGAGAGAACUGAAAAUGUUUGUUGCAGCAGUGGUAGAAAUCGGAAAAGGGCGAGGAAAAGCCAAUCAUGUCAACUCUCUCUUAAGUCGUUCUUCGCCUCAAGCUCAAAAGUAACCGAUGCUCGAGACGUUUGUUCUGUUCAAGCAGACAUCUUGAAUUCUGAUCAGAGCUUCCGAGCUGAUAAUAUCUCGGAAGACGGUGAACAAAGAAGCAAUCGAGAUCAAUCGGGUCCUUCAACAGAUGAACGGGAAGGCGGGUCUUCAGAAAAAAACAAGAACAAUGCCGCUUUACAGGAGUGGCAAAGGAUACAGAACCUAAUGCAGAACAGCAUACCUCUCUGCAAGGGCCAUAAGGAACAGUGUGUGGCCCGUGUAGUGAAAAAACCAGGUCCCACUUUUGGUCGGAGAUUCUAUGUAUGUGCUCGAGCCGAGGGGCCUUCAUCUAAUCCAGAAGCUAACUGUGGCUACUUCAAAUGGGCUUCGUCAAAAUUCAGGGAGAAAUAAAACCAGCUUCACGGGUACGGAUCAUGCUCUUCCCUAUUCCCGGUAUAAGUUUAAUAUCUCGUUUCCAAAAAUCAGUCUUUUUCCCGCUCGUCGUUUUAGGGGAUAACAACUAUGAGCUCUGUAUUCUUGGGGUUGCAGUAGACACGUCUGAGAUCCGAAUUUAGACGACAUACUUGAAAUCUCUGCAGCUUAGAGCACGUUUUUGGAACCUAGGGGUGAGUACCGGUCGGAUACCGAGUCUUUCGGAACGUCCUCAGUUUCAUAGGCUCGGGUUUUUCCAUUGGACUACUCGGUCAUGGUGUCAAGUAUCCGAGCUUUGGAUAUCCGCGGUUUCCACCCCACCUCUUUUCCUCUUCCGGCUCGGGUAUCCGCAAAACCAGCGAAAAUUUUCGGCCGAAACCCGAAUCCGAAUAUGAAGGUAGACGAAUAUUCGGUUUUCACGAUUUUUAACAUGGUCGUCCUCCUACAAGACCCCAAUUUCUCUAUUAUAAUCUAGUUUUGGUGGCGCAGUGAAUGGAAUUUUCACGAUUUCACUGUCACAAAUUGCUUGAACAAAAUAUGAGAGACACAAAAGAUAAUGUUGUUAAUGGUAUAUAUAUAUAUAUUUUAUAUAAAAAUAUACGCAGAUACGUAUCCACAUGCAUUUUAUAUUUUAUUAAAUGUAACACUUGAGCAAUUGGGAACGUGGCACCCACGUAAUAGUAGCGGUAACUUUUGCAUCACGAUAUAAAAUUGACAGCGGUCCAUCCGUCUCUUUUCUUCUUAUAAUCAUACAGCAGCAACGUUAUCUAAACCAUAUUUUAAAAUGUUACCAUAUGCGUAAUGAGAUCAUGGGGUGAUGGGAUUUUCACGAUUUGUUUUAAAUUGCGACUGGACUGUUCUUUGUGAUGAAUGACAUCUGUAACCACAUUCUCGUCACAAGAAUAGCAAUUAAAAUACUAAUGAUGUUUUUUUUA